rnacentral:rRNA from 1 species
UCGAAACUCCGCAAUGCGCGAAAGCGUGACGGGGGAACCCCAAGUGCCGUUGGUCUUUGAUCGACGGCUUUUAGGGAGUCUAAGAAGCUCCCGGAAUAAGGGCUGGGCAAGUCGGGUGCCAGCCGCCGCGGUAAUACCCGCAGCCCGAGUGGUGGUCGCGAUUAUUGGGCCUAAAGCGCUCGUAGCCGGGUCAGCAAGUCCCUUGUGAAAUCGGGCGGCCUAACCGUUCGGCUUGCAAGGGAUACUGUUGGUCUUGAGGCCGGGAGACGUCUGAGGUACUCCGGGGGUAGCGGUAAAAUGCUGUAAUCCUCGGGGGACCACCAGUGGCGAAGGCGUCAGACGAGAACGGACCUGACGGUGAGGGGCGAAGGCUAGGGGAGCGAACGGGAUUAGAUACCCCGGUAGUCCUAGCUGUAAAGCAUGCGGGCCAGGUGUCUGGUGUUCCUCGAGAGCACCAAGUGCCGGAGGGAAGCCGUUAAGCCCGCCGCCUGGGAAGUACGGUCGCAAGGCUGAAACUUAAAGGAAUGGCGGGGGGAAACAC